AACGAACGCUGGCGGCAGGCCUAACACAUGCAAGUCGAACGCUCUAGCAAUAGGGAGUGGCAGACGGGUGAGUAACGCGUGGGAACCUUCCCAUUGGUACGGAAUAGCCCAGGGAAACUUGGAAUAAUACCGUAUAAGCCCGAAAGGGGAAAGAUUUAUCGCCGAUGGAUGGGCCCGCGUAGGAUUAGCUAGUUGGUGAGGUAAUGGCUCACCAAGGCGACGAUCCUUAGCUGGUCUGAGAGGACGAUCAGCCACACUGGGACUGAGACACGGCCCAGACUCCUACGGGAGGCAGCAGUGGGGAAUAUUGGACAAUGGGCGCAAGCUUGAUCCAGCCAUGCCGCGUGAGUGACGAAGGCCUUAGGGUUGUAAAGCUCUUAUGGCGGGGACGAUAAUGACGGUACCCGCAGAAUAAGCCCCGGCUAACUUCGUGCCAGCCGCCGCGGUAA
rnacentral:rRNA from 1 species